rnacentral:rRNA from 1 species
UACAGAGGGGGCAAGCGUUGUUCGGAAUUACUGGGCGUAAAGGGCGCGUAGGCGGCCUGUUAAGUCGAACGUGAAAUCCCCGGGCUCAACCCGGGAACUGCGUCCGAUACUGGCAGGCUCGAAUCCGGGAGAGGGAUGCGGAAUUCCAGGUGUAGCGGUGAAAUGCGUAGAUAUCUGGAGGAAUACCGGUGGCGAAGGCGGCAUCCUGGACCGACAUUGACGCUGAGGUGCGAAAGCGUGGGGAGCGAACAGG